GUCCUUCUGCGUGGCUGGGGCGGGGCGGCUUUAGCUGGCGACGUGUGCUGUCAUUGGCCCCCGGGAUCUGGGCGGCUCCUUCCGUUAGAGACCUCCCCCCGCCGGUGGGGGAGACAAAGAGCGGCCCAUCAUGGCCCCCGGAGUCUGACCUUACAGUUUCUGCGAAAUCUUUUCUUCUUGGCAGAAGUUACAUCUUCAGGUCUUGCUAAGAGUUGAUGUCUGACAUUCACACUUAUAUUCUGUCUUGACAAAUAGCCUGAAGCAGAUGUUGGCAAACUGGCAAGUGGCCUUGAACAUGAGAUCCAGGAAUUUGAGUCCAAUCCAGGAAACAGGGAGGCCUAGUGAAGAAUUUUAAGGAGAAGAUUAGACCUUCUGUUUGCUUUGUCCUAUUUGCGGCAUGUGGGAUCUAGUUCCCCAACAGGAAUCAAAUCCGGGCGCCCUGGAACAGAAGCGUGGAGUCUUAGCCAUUGGACCACCUGGGAAGUCCCAGGCAAAGCGUUUUAAAAAGCCAGGUACUUCAGAGAAGAGCUGAAGCAGAGGAUGUGAGGAAGGCCCGUCUCAGUCCUGGGAAGGCCCCGAGGGGUCCUGCUCGGUUACAGUGAACUGGAUCGCACCCUGCCUGGCAGUAGAAAAGAGUAGCUCCAAGGGUCUGAAGGCAAGGAAAGGAUUGUAAAGGUGGAGGUGAGUGGAGCGAACGGAUUUUGAACAAAGAACGCAUUGUUGGAGGCAAGGUCGCACUCUUCCCAGAGAUGGAAGGGGUCCAGGAGUCAAGAUUACCCCUAGUGGCGACCAGAAAACACCAGGGGGGCUGAUGCAAGAUCAUAGUCCGGGGAAGUCAGAAGUGUCCUUAGGUUAGGUAUUAUGUGUUGGUCUUCUGCCACGGGCCCAAGACGACCGAUUCCAUCGGAGGCCUGCGGUUUCCUUCUUCACAAAAGAAAAAACAAUGACGGUGGGGCAGUCCCACUUCUGGGGAUUUUCCUUGAGGACUAAUUCCCACAGGUUCCAGAGGAAACAUGCCUUGUUGAUGUUCAUCCAGCCGCGUUUGGGAGCGUAGAAACGACCUGCAAGCAAAGUGCAGGGGCCGGGUUGGCGCUCCCUGUUCAUGCAUCACGGCGCCUCUGAAACUUCCUGUUAGGUGUACGUGGGUGCAGUCAGGGACCCUCCGGGGACAGCUUUACAGCUUUUCAAGAGCUUCUGGUAAAUUAACUAAUGUUGCUUAUUUCUGGAUAAUGCAAUCUGAAGUGUUUUAAAAGUUUUGCUUCCUAGCGUUUUAAAUAAUCAUUGACGUUGUAAACCAUUAUCACGUAUUAAAGAGUUUUUAUUGCAAAC
ensembl:lncRNA